UCGUUGCUGAAGGCAAACAAACACUCACGCGGAACCGCGGACUCCACAUCGAUGUUUGUUGUAGUCCUAUUUAUAACCGAAGAGGCGAGAGAGAGAGAGAGAGAGAGAGAGCGAGAGAGAGAGGUGAAUGGAGUCGCCGCCACAGGACGACACCUGCUCGAUCUGCCUUGGAAGCUUCACGCACCCCUGCCAAGCCAAUUGUUCCCAUUGGUUCUGCGGAGAGUGUAUUCUGAGCGUCUGGCAUCAUGGAUCCAUCUUUCAGCAAUGCAAAUGCCCCAUUUGUCGUUGUUUCAUAAAUUUACUGAAACCUACUGAUGCCAGUGUUCAAGAGGGCAAGGACAGAAAAGCUAACCAGGUUCUUAAAAGCAUUAAGAAGUACAACCGUUCAUUUGGUGGAGAACCAUCCAGCCUCAUACAGAAGUUACAGGACCUUCCAUUCUUCAUCAGAAGGCUGGCAAUGGAACUGAUGGAUCCGCGGAGGCCACUGCCUUCUCUCUUCAGAGCACAUAUCACUUUUGCCACGAGCAGGGUUGCGGAUCUGCGGCAUCAGUGCGUGGGUGCAGGCCUGCUUGUGCGCAUGCACAUUCUCCUGAAAUUGUUAUGUUCUAUAAAACUGCAUCUGUUGUUGUAUGCAAAGCUAUGCCUUGUUUCUUUCUUUGUAUGUUUUCUCUAAGUUCUUGAUGUUUAUGCAUUUGUGAUUCUUAAGUGGCAUAACCAACAUGUCCAGACGAGUUUUGUUAAUUUGAUUGGUAGUUAUUUGUCUAAUAACAUAUCUAGGUUUGUUAAUGGAAACGUUGGCAAUUACUGUGCACUCAUAGAUAUGACAAUCACAAACCAAAGGUAGGUUAGAAUUCUUUUAUAGUAAAGGUGCAUAAAAAAUGUGUUCGUUGGUAAAAGAGAUGGUCUUGCAUGGGCUCAAAUAUAAAAAGUGGAAUUCUGAUAUAUGUUCAGAAUUUUGACCCUAGAUGAGCAAGAUGUCAUAACACCGAGUUAUGUCCAUAUUAUUUCUAGUUUGAUAUGCUACCAAAUGUUCCUAUAUGAUCACAUUAAAUACUUUUAUAUAUAUUUUUCCUUCAAGGCUAUCAUUCUGUUGUUUUAAUAUGCUUAUUCACAUCUCUUCCAAGCAAAAAAUAUAUCAAACAACACUUAUUUGGAUUUUAGAAUUCUGAUAUUAAUUGAGGAACCAAUACAAGUGACAGUCCGAUGACAAACAAUAAGAAAAUAAAGUUUUAGAACAUUAAUGUAAAUUCAUAUGACCAAUUAUAUUUUACCUUGAUUUUAGUACCAGUAACAAUAAAGAAUUGAUUGUAACAUGUGAGAAUGGCGACUAUAUGCCGUAGAGUAAUCCAGAUAUGCAGUCCUAUGCUCACAAUUAGGUGGACAGCAUAUGCUAAUUUUAGUUAUAUCUAUCUGGCUUACAUAAGCAAUAUUCUAUUAUGCAUAGCCACAUGGUCGUACACCACAUAAGGAAACACUGUUUGGAACACUGAGCAUGUGGAAAAUUUGUUUCUAUCUCCCCGUUAUCUGAUAGUAGCACCAAAUUUUAGUGACAAAAUUAUUGUUACUAUGUAUGGAGAUGAGAACACAAAUGGAAAUCGCUUUGAUCAUAUAUACAUUUUAUGAAAGGUAAGUUUAUUGAGAUUUAAAUUUUUGCAGCUGUCACUAAGUGCAAUGUAUGUGCUGAGUCCGGUGGACAUGCUUCCAGAAGACGAAUAUGGAGUCGUUGGUUUACUAGACGAUCUCCUCGUUUUGCUGCCAAAUUUGCAGGUUAUUUUCAUCAACCGUCAGAAGAUGCUGUUCAUUGUAACACUGGUAAUCUCUAUUCUCCAGUAUUUGCACAUGUUAUUAUUUCAUGUUAAAAGAAGUACUUGCUACUAUAAUCAUAUGUUGCAUUUUUUUA